rnacentral:rRNA from 1 species
GGCCCGCACAAGCGGUGGAGCAUGUGGUUUAAUUCGAUGCAACGCGAAGAACCUUACCUACUCUUGACAUCCAGAGAAUUUAGCAGAGAUGCUUUAGUGCCUUCGGGAACUCUGAGACAGGUGCUGCAUGGCUGUCGUCAGCUCGUGUUGUGAAAUGUUGGGUUAAGUCCCGCAACGAGCGCAACCCUUAUCCUUUGUUGCCAGCGAUUCGGUCGGGAACUCAAAGGAGACUGCCGGUGAUAAACCGGAGGAAGGUGGGGAUGACGUCAAGUCAUCAUGGCCCUUACAAGUAGGGCUACACACGUGCUACAAUGGCGUAUACAAAGAGAAGCGACCUCGCGAGAGCAAGCGGAACUCAUAAAGUACGUCGUAGUCCGGAUUGGAGUCUGCAACUCGACUCCAUGAAGUCGGAAUCGCUAGUAAUCGUAGAUCAGAAUGCUACGGUGAAUACGUUCCCGGGCCUUGUACACACCGCCCGUCACACCAUGGGAGUGGGUUGCAAAAGAAGUAGGUAGCUUAACCUUCGGGAGGGCGCUUACCACUUUGUGAUUCAUGA